UCACCCUCAAAACCCAGACCCAGUGCCAGGAACUGAAAUGUAAGGGCAGAUAGUAGGGGACAGACAUGGACAGAGAGAGAGAUGCAAAGAAAGAAUGAGAAAGUCAAAGCUGAUAGUUCUCAGCAGGAACACGCUGUACAAUGUUAGAGCAAAGGCUGCACCAAGAGAAGCGCAAACAUUAGAACCCAACUGGUGAGAAGUGAGAACAAGGAGAAUAAACAUGUGACAGGCAUAAACCAGAAGAGCAGUCAGAAGACUUGUGAUGGAAGGAAACCGCCUGUGGCUCAGCAGCAGUAAACUUGGGUGACACCAGUCUUUAUGCAGACCUAUGGGAUCCUGAAUGCAGCUGGCUCUUGUUGUUCACUUUCCUCUGCAAGGACUCAAACAGGGAGACCCCACGCUGAGGCCAGCCUCAUUAGAUGUCUCCAGUCCAUCACAAAGCCAGAUAUGAUGUUGCCACAUAUGGACCUGGUCCUGUGUAAUGGCAGGAAAGAUACUUGGGAGGUAUAAAAUCCAGUUAGAAACUCAGAUAUAUUAAUCCUUGCCACAUAGCUAUGAAGACCUUGCCAACUUAGAGAAUCUGUGUAUUUUUAAAUAAAGCAUACAAUCUGCCUUUUA